CCUACGGGAGGCAGCAGUAGGGAAUAUUGGGCAAUGGAGGCAACUCUGACCCAGCCAUGCCGCGUGCAGGAUGAAGGCGUUAUGCGUUGUAAACUGCUUUUAUAUAGGAAGAAAGAGUUCUUGCGAGAACAGUUGACGGUACUAUAUGAAUAAGCACCGGCUAACUCCGUGCCAGCAGCCGCGGUAAUACGGAGGGUGCAAGCGUUGUCCGGAUUUAUUGGGUUUAAAGGGUGCGUAGGCGGUUUAUUAAGUCAGUGGUGAAAGACGGUCGCUCAACGAUUGCAGUGCCAUUGAUACUGGUAGACUUGAGUGAGAUUGAGGUAGCUGGAAUGGAUAGUGUAGCGGUGAAAUGCAUAGAUAUUAUCCAGAACACCAAUUGCGUAGGCAAGUUACUAAGUCUCAACUGACGCUGAGGCACGAAAGUGUGGGUAUCAAACAGGAUUAGAUACCCUGGUAGUCCACACUGUAAACGAUGAUAACUAACUGUUGGCUUUCGGGUCAGUGGUACAGAGAAUCGUUAAGUUAUCCACCGUCGGGAGGUACGGCCGGCCGACGGUAGUAACGUUAAACGGUAAGUUAGUACGGCGUGAGACGUUAGCCGACGGACGACGACGAGGGAGGAGG
rnacentral:rRNA from 1 species